UACGUAGGGGGCUAGCGUUGUCCGGAAUCAUUGGGCGUAAAGAGCGUGUAGGCGGCCCGGUAAGUCCGCUGUAAAAGUCAAAGGCUCAACCUUUGAAAUGUCAGUGGAUACUGCCGGGCUAGAGUCCGGAAGAGGCGAGUGGAACUCCUGGUGUAGCGGUGGAAUGCGCAGAUAUCAGGAAGAACACCAACGGCGAAGGCAGCUCGCUAGGACGGUACUGACGCUGAGACGCGAAAGCGUGGGAGCGAACAGG
rnacentral:rRNA from 1 species